rnacentral:rRNA from 1 species
AGAACCUGAAACCGUGUACGUACAAGCAGUGGGAGCCCCACCACUAAGCCAGUGGUGAACUCCACAUACGCAUCCUUUGCUGAGGAUACGGUUAGCGGAGCGAAAGCGACGUUCAACCUCAAAAGAAGCAGAGGGGGCUUAGUGGUGGGGUGACUGCGUACCUUUUGUAUAAUGGGUCAGCGACUUAUAUUCUGUAGCAAGGUUAACCGUAUAGGGGAGCCGAAGGGAAACCGAGUCUUAACCGGGCGUUAAGUUGCAGGGUAUAGACCCGAAACCCGGUGAUCUAGCCAUGGGCAGGUUGAAGGUUGGGUAACACUAACUGGAGGACCGAACCGACUAAUGUUGAAAAAUUAGCGGAUGACCUGUGGCUGGGGGUGAAAGGCCAAUCAAACCGGGAGAUAGCUGGUUCUCCCCGAAAGCUAUUUAGGUAGCGCCUCGUGAACUCAUCUCCGGGGGUAGAGCACUGUUUCGGCUAGGGGGCCAUCCCGGCUUACCAACCCGAUGCAAACUGCGAAUACCGGAGAAUGUUAUCACGGGAGACACACGGCGGGUGCUAACGUCCGUCGUGAAGAGGGAAACAACCCAGACCGCCAGCUAAGGUCCCAAAGUCAUGGUUAAGUGGGAAACGAUGUGGGAAGGCCCAGACAGCCAGGAUGUUGGCUUAGAAGCAGCCAUCAUUUAAAGAAAGCGUAAUAGCUCACUGGUCGAGUCGGCCUGCGCGGAAGAUGUAACGGGGCUAAACCAUGCACCGAAGCUGCGGCAGCGACACUAUGUGUUGUUGGGUAGGGGAGCGUUCUGUAAGCCUGCGAAGGUGGCCUGUGAGGGUUGCUGGAGGUAUCAGAAGUGCGAAUGCUGACAUAAGUAACGAUAAAGCGGGUGAAAAGCCCGCUCGCCGGAAGACCAAGGGUUCCUGUCCAACGUUAAUCGGGGCAGGGUGAGUCGACCCCUAAGGCGAGGCCGAAAGGCGUAGUCGAUGGGAAACGGGUUAAUAUUCCCGUACUUGGUGUUACUGCGAAGGGGGGACGGAGAAGGCUAUGUUGGCCGGGCGACGGUUGUCCCGGUUUAAGCGUGUAGGUGUGUGUUCCAGGUAAAUCCGGUUCACUUUAACACUGAGGCGUGACGACGAGGCACUACGGUGCUGAAGCAACAAAUGCCCUGCUUCCAGGAAAAGCCUCUAAGCAUCAGGUAACAUCAAAUCGUACCCCAAACCGACACAGGUGGUCAGGUAGAGAAUACCAAGGCGCUUGAGAGAACUCGGGUGAAGGAACUAGGCAAAAUGGUGCCGUAACUUCGGGAGAAGGCACGCUGACACGUAGGUGAAGUGAUUUACUCACGGAGCUGAAGUCAGUCGAAGAUACCAGCUGGCUGCAACUGUUUAUUAAAAACACAGCACUGUGCAAACACGAAAGUGGACGUAUACGGUGUGACGCCUGCCCGGUGCCGGAAGGUUAAUUGAUGGGGUCAGCGCAAGCGAAGCUCCUGAUCGAAGCCCCGGUAAACGGCGGCCGUAACUAUAACGGUCCUAAGGUAGCGAAAUUCCUUGUCGGGUAAGUUCCGACCUGCACGAAUGGCGUAAUGAUGGCCAGGCUGUCUCCACCCGAGACUCAGUGAAAUUGAACUCGCUGUGAAGAUGCAGUGUACCCGCGGCAAGACGGAAAGACCCCGUGAACCUUUACUAUAGCUUGACACUGAACAUUGAGCCUUGAUGUGUAGGAUAGGUGGGAGGCUUUGAAGCGUGGACGCCAGUCUGCGUGGAGCCGACCUUGAAAUACCACCCUUUAAUGUUUGAUGUUCUAACGUGGACCCGUGAUCCGGGUUGCGGACAGUGUCUGGUGGGUAGUUUGACUGGGGCGGUCUCCUCCUAAAGAGUAACGGAGGAGCACGAAGGUUGGCUAAUCCUGGUCGGACAUCAGGAGGUUAGUGCAAUGGCAUAAGCCAGCUUGACUGCGAGCGUGACGGCGCGAGCAGGUGCGAAAGCAGGUCAUAGUGAUCCGGUGGUUCUGAAUGGAAGGGCCAUCGCUCAACGGAUAAAAGGUACUCCGGGGAUAACAGGCUGAUACCGCCCAAGAGUUCAUAUCGACGGCGGUGUUUGGCACCUCGAUGUCGGCUCAUCACAUCCUGGGGCUGAAGUAGGUCCCAAGGGUAUGGCUGUUCGCCAUUUAAAGUGGUACGCGAGCUGGGUUUAGAACGUCGUGAGACAGUUCGGUCCCUAUCUGCCGUGGGCGCUGGAGAACUGAGGGGGGCUGCUCCUAGUACGAGAGGACCGGAGUGGACGCAUCACUGGUGUUCGGGUUGUCAUGCCAAUGGCACUGCCCGGUAGCUAAAUGCGGAAGAGAUAAGUGCUGAAAGCAUCUAAGCACGAAACUUGCCCCGAGAUGAGUUCUCCCUGAGACUUUAGGUCUCCUGAAGGAACGUUGAAGACGACGACGUUGAUAGGCCGGGUGUGUAAGCGCAGCGAUGCGUUGAGCUAACCGGUACUAAUGAACCGUGAGGCUUAACCUUACAACGCCGAAG